rnacentral:rRNA from 1 species
GAUGAACGCUAGCUACAGGCUUAACACAUGCAAGUCGAGGGGCAGCAUGGGGUUUGCUUGCAAACCUUGAUGGCGACCGGCGCACGGGUGAGUAACGCGUAUCCAACCUUCCCCUUAGUAGAGGAUAGCCCGGCGAAAGUCGGAUUAAUACUCUAUGUUCUUUCUGGAUGGCAUCUGAUGGAAAGCAAAGGUUCACCGCUAAGGGAUGGGGAUGCGUCUGAUUAGCUUGUUGGCGGGGUAACGGCCCACCAAGGCGACGAUCAGUAGGGGUUCUGAGAGGAAGGUCCCCCACAUUGGUACUGAGACACGGACCAAACUCC